rnacentral:rRNA from 1 species
UACGAAGGGGGCUAGCGUUGUUCGGAUUUACUGGGCGUAAAGCGCACGUAGGCGGAUCGAUCAGUCAGGGGUGAAAUCCCAGAGCUCAACUCUGGAACUGCCUUUGAUACUGUCGAUCUGGAGUAUGGAAGAGGUGAGUGGAAUUCCGAGUGUAGAGGUGAAAUUCGUAGAUAUUCGGAGGAACACCAGUGGCGAAGGCGGCUCACUGGUCCAUUACUGACGUGAGGUGCGAA